rnacentral:rRNA from 3 species
UGAGAAUGUGCCUUCGGGAACCGUGAGACAGGUGCUGCAUGGCUGUCGUCAGCUCGUGUUGUGAAAUGUUGGGUUAAGUCCCGCAACGAGCGCAACCCUUAUCCUUUGUUGCCAGCGGUCCGGCCGGGAACUCAAAGGAGACUGCCAGUGAUAAACUGGAGGAAGGUGGGGAUGACGUCAAGUCAUCAUGGCCCUUACGACCAGGGCUACACACGUGCUACAAUGGCGCAUACAAAGAGAAGCGACCUCGCGAGAGCAAGCGGACCUCAUAAAGUGCGUCGUAGUCCGGAUUGGAGUCUGCAACUCGACUCCAUGAAGUCGGAAUCGCUAGUAAUCGUGGAUCAGAAUGCCACGGUGAAUACGUUCCCGGGCCUUGUACACACC